rnacentral:misc_RNA from 1 species
UUGAAUAAACUUGGCUGGGUUGUUGCUGGCUCUCAGGAGCAUGUGCACGCUCAUUCCAUUUUUAACCACCUGUGCACACAUUGUAGGCUUGAAUGAACUUUUCGAGGAAACUCGGUUUGAGAACUGCUACAAGCUGUUCUUGCAUUCCAAGUCUAUGUUUUAAACAUCAUACUCCAUAACAAGUUCCAGAAUGUUAAUUAUAGGCCUUCUGUGCCUUUAAACCUAAUA